GAUGAACGCUGGCGGCGUGCUUAACACAUGCAAGUCGAACGGAAAGGCCCUGCUUUUGUGGGGUGCUCGAGUGGCGAAGGGGUGAGUAACACGGGAGUAACCUGCCCUUGACUUUGUGAUAACUUCAGGAAACUGGGGCUAAUACCGGAUAGGAGCGCCUGCUGCAGGGUGGGGGUUGGAAAGUUUCGGCGGUUGGGGAUGGACGCGCGGGUUAUCAGCUUGUUGGGGGGGGAGUGGCUUACCAAGGCUUUGACGGGUAGCCGGCCUGGGAGGGUGGCCGGCCACAAUGGGACUGCGAGACGGCCCAGACUCCAACGGGAGGCAGCAGUGGGGAAUCUGGCACAAUGGGCGGAAGCCUGAUGCAGCAACGCCGCGUGCGGGAUGACGGCCUUCGGGUUGUAAACCGCUUUCGCCUGUGACGAAGCGUGAGUGACGGUAAUGGGUAAAGAAGCACCGGCUAACUACGUG
rnacentral:rRNA from 1 species